GGGCACGUAGCUCAAUUUGAUAGAGCACCGCCAUUGGCGCGGAAGGACGCGGGUUCGAUUCCCGCCGUGUCCA
rnacentral:tRNA from 1 species